UUCUUCUUCCCACACAAAGAUCUGUGGGCUUGAAGUCCCGCGUGCUGCGAAAGCGGCACUGUUGGUUGAUUUCUACCCAGUUCGACGACAAUGGGAACUUCUUAUUCUUUGAUGAAGCACGUCCGGUCGACAGAUCUGAGAGCAACGGGGGUGGUAGCGGAGGCUUGUUGAAUUGCUCGUCAGUUCCGAGUCGACCUACUGCCCGGGCGCUAUAUUCCAAAACGUUCUCGAGCCCGUCGGGCCAUGGGAGCUGGGUAAAACCAUAGCUUGCCUACAUUC
rfam:Pseudocercospora fijiensis CIRAD86 unplaced genomic scaffold MYCFIscaffold_1, whole genome shotgun sequence.